AGAUGCGGAACACUUUGAUAUGAAUAAAUGUUGUCCUCCCACAGUGCUGAGAUCAUUGGGAAAAGCACCGAGGUGGAAGCAGUGCUGAGUGACUCCCGAGACGAGGACAGAAAAGGUGAUCAGCUCCCGCCUGGCCCUCUUCCCUCAGAACACACAGCUUUGCAGCCCUGAGCCACCAGGAUCAAAUGAUGAUGCAGUGCUGGAGAGCCAGCUUGGACUGUGUAGAUACAGACAGUACCCACCCCGGUAUGGCAGAGCAACAACACAGAAGGAACCUGGGUCCCCAUUCAGCUUCCAGGAGCAGAGCUGCCUCAUCGCCUUGGACCAACUCCUACCUAUGGGCAAGAAUGUGAGAAAGGAGGAAAUGUCUAACUUGAUUAAUCCCUGUAUUUUGGGGUCUGUUUGUUAUAGUAGCUUAUUCAUGGAAAUAAUAGAGCUGGGAUCACUGCACUGGAUCUGAAGGGCCUUACAGUUCCUGCCUACAAUCUAGUCAUUC